AGAGUUUGAUCCUGGCUCAGGAUGAACGCUAGCUACAGGCUUAACACAUGCAAGUCGAGGGGCAGCAUGAAAGGAACUUCGGUUCUUUUUGAUGGCGACCGGCGCACGGGUGCGUAACGCGUAUCGAACCUGCCUCAUACUCGGGGAUAGCCUUGCGAAAGUAAGAUUAAUACCCGGCGGUCUCGGAUGGCCGCAUGACUGUCCGAGUGAAGAUUUAUCGGUAUGAGAUGGCGAUGCGUCCCAUUAGCUUGUUGGUGAGGUAACGGCUCACCAAGGCAUCGAUGGGUAGGGGUUCUGAGAGGAAGGUCCCCCACAUUGGAACUGAGACACGGUCCAAACUCCUACGGGAGGCAGCAGUGAGGAAUAUUGGUCAAUGGACGAAAGUCUGAACCAGCCAAGUAGCGUGCAGGACGACGGCCCUCUGGGUUGUAAACUGCUUUUAGUUGGGAAUAAAAAGAGGGACGUGUCCCUUAUUGUAUGUACCAUCAGAAAAAGGACCGGCUAAUUCCGUGCCAGCAGCCGCGGUAAUACGGAAGGUUCAGGCGUUAUCCGGAUUUAUUGGGUUUAAAGGGAGCGCAGGCGGCGGCGUAAGUCAGUUGUGAAAUCGUGCGGCUUAACCGUGCAAUUGCAGUUGAUACUGCGUCGCUUGAGUGCACACAGGGAUGUUGGAAUUCAUGGUGUAGCGGUGAAAUGCUUAGAUAUCAUGAAGAACUCCGAUCGCGAAGGCAUAUGUCCGGAGUGCAACUGACGCUGAGGCUCGAAAGUGUGGGUAUCAAACAGGAUUAGAUACCCUGGUAGUCCACACAGUAAACGAUGAAUACUCGCGGUUGGUUCGUUAGAGUCAGCCGCCAAGCGAAAGCGUUAAGUAUUCCACCUGGGGAGUACGCCGGCAACGGUGAAACUCAAAGGAAUUGACGGGGGCCCG
rnacentral:rRNA from 1 species